rnacentral:rRNA from 1 species
CUGAACCAGCCAAGUAGCGUGAAGGAUGACUGCCCUAUGGGUUGUAAACUUCUUUUAUACGGGAAUAAAGUGAGGCACGUGUGCCUUUUUGUAUGUACCGUAUGAAUAAGGAUCGGCUAACUCCGUGCCAGCAGCCGCGGUAAUACGGAGGAUCCGAGCGUUAUCCGGAUCUAUUGGGUUUAAAGGGAGCGUAGGCGGACGCUUAAGUCAGUUGUGAAAGUUUGCGG